AAAAAGGCAACCUAGCUUUAAAGACACAAGUGACCCCUGCAUUCCACAGUGCUUUCCAGAAAAGUUUUGGAAUGGUUUGAGGCCUUGCCUUGCUCUCUCCAGAGCAAGGUUAUAGAAAUUUUAGAUAAUU
rnacentral:snoRNA from 1 species